AUGGCAGACAAGCCCGACAUGGCGGAAAUUGCCGGCUUCAAUAAGGCCAAGCUAAAGACGAUGGAGACGCAGGAGAAGAACACCCUGCCAACCAAAGAGACCAUUGAGCAGGAGAAGCAAGCGAAGUGAAAUUUCCUAAGAACCUGGAGGAUUCUCCACCCCCAUCAUCUUGGAGACCUUAGUCAUGAUGUGGAGGAAGAGCCACCUGCAAGAUGGACACG